rnacentral:rRNA from 1 species
AAGCGGGUGAAAAGCCCGCUCGCCGGAAGACCAAGGGUUCCUGUCCAACGUUAAUCGGGGCAGGGUGAGUCGACCCCUAAGGCGAGGCCGAAAGGCGUAGUCGAUGGGAAACAGGUUAAUAUUCCUGUACUUGGUGUUACUGCGAAGGGGGGACGGAGAAGGCUAUGUUAGCCGGGCGACGGUUGUCCCGGUUUAAGCAUGUAGGCUGGUUGUCCAGGCAAAUCCGGAUAAUCAAGGCUGAGGUGUGAUGACGAGGCACUACGGUGCUGAAGUAACAAAUGCCCUGCUUCCAGGAAAAGCCUCUAAGCAUCAGGUAACAUUAAAUCGUACCCCAAAC